GAAUAUUAUGAUAUAUAAAGCUCCCAACAUCCGCGAACAAUUUACUUGUACUCCUAAAUAUACUCAAUCACAAUGAAGAUUAUUGCUGUUGUAUUGGUUGCUUGCGUUAUAAUCAUGAACGCGGAUUUAUCACACGCCGAAUGUGCUGGAGCUUGCCCAGCUAUAUAUUUACCAGUGUGUGCUCAAAACGCCCAAGGCGAAUCUCGUAGAUUCUCAAAUGAUUGUGAUUUGAGCAAUCAUAACUGCAGAAAUCCUAGUCAAACAUUCACUGUUACACAAACGCAAAGUGUGAUUGAUUCAAGUGAAACUUUAUUGAUAAGUACUUGACGAUGGACUUAUUUGAAUAUUUUCUAAUACCUACCUAAUUUAGCAUAAAGGUGUUUGCUUGAUAUUAAUUGUGAUCAAAAUUGAUUUAAAAUUAAAUUAAUUGAAAAGGCAA